UUGAGGUUUCAAUACCUUUCUGGUCACUAGGAUUAUUGUCCUUAACAAGUAAUUUUUACGGUAGAGGGGUACGGAUUGGAAUAGCUGUUGUGCUGGCCUUGGUGACAAUGAUUUAUAAAGCGCUUACAAAGAUACUGGCUUCUGUUUACGAUAUGUAUGGUUUAUGGUUUCUUCAUCCUACCCUGCAUCCCAAUUCCAGUAGUGCGUUUUGGGAAUUUAUUAGUAAUUACACUCAGUCUGUUAGAGGAGGAGCCGAGAAUGAGACUUUCCAGCCUUCCCUUUCCUUCUUCUCCUUUGGAUCGGUUAUGUCACUUUUUGAGAAUGUUCAGUUUCCCCUGAAUGUUAAAGAGACCAUCUUUCUGGUAUUUAAUCUGGUAAGUUUCCUCUAUAUGGUCUGCAGCUUCUCUAGAAUGAGGGCUGAGAUAUCCAGAGGAGCUGGUGAGACCCCUGGUGCAGAAGCAGAUGCAGGCGUGAAAAAUUCUGAGUGGGGUGGAGAAUGGGAAAAUAUAGGCCAAAUCCUGAAGGAAUUUUCUGAUCCUGUAGACUGGGAUUUUCCACGGGACCAAAUUCAGAAUGCAGCAGAAGUGGGGAAAUACCUAAAAGAGAAGUGCCAUGAUGAUUCUAAGGAGAAAAGGCUCAUUGCAAUAAGCUGGGCCCUGGCCUAUGCUUAUCGCACUUUGUAUGAUAGUGUAGGGCAGCAGACAGAGGCAGGGGGGCAGCGAGAUAAAUCAGCUAUCCCAGUCACUCAAGCUGUUGUCAACAGCCCAGGCUCGACGCCAGCAGCCAAACCAGAUAGUGAGCCUAAGCCAGCAGCUAAACCCAUGGCUGUUACUACCAGCACUAGAAGUGGGAAAUGCAUGGAUAAAACUAAUCAACCAGUGGAUGAUGAUGAUGAUGGUGAUGGUGAUACAGGAGAAGGAACCUCAAUGCCUCAUGACAUAAAAUCAGGAGUCAAGGCAGCAGGUGCAAGAUCAGAUGCAAAUAUUGAGUCCGUUUCCCUGAAGGACCUUCGUGGCCUACGGAAGGAUUACACUCGAAGGUCUGAUGAAUCCAUAAUUAGUUGGCUGGUCUGUCUCUGGGAUGCUGCAGGCGAGGAUACAGUUUCGGAUGGCACUGAAGCCAGGCAUUUAGGAUCCCUGUCACAGGAUCCUGUCAUAUAACAAGGAAUGAGCGGGGCUAAUCCACACAGCCUCUGGGAACGGGUCCAAAGAAGUGUAGCAGAAAGACACCUGUGCGCAGACGAUCUCUAUAUGCAGCAAACCCAGUGGAAAACCAUAGAACAAGGGAUUCAAUGCUUGAGGGAAAUGGCAG
rnacentral:lncRNA from 1 species